UACGUAGGCAGCAAGCGUUGUUCGGAGUUACUGGGCGUAAAGGGUGUGUAGGCGGUUCUUUAAGUUCGCUGUGAAAUCUCCCGGCUUAACCGGGAGGGUGCGGUGAAUACUGAGGGACUAGAGUACGGGAGAGGAAAGUGGAAUUCCUGGUGUAGCGGUGAAAUGCGUAGAUAUCAGGAGGAACACCUGUGGCGAAAGCGGCUCACUGGACCACAACUGACGCUGAUGCACGAAAGCUAGGGGAGCAAACAG
rnacentral:rRNA from 1 species